GAGUUUGAUCCUGGCUCAGGACGAACGCUGGCGGCGCGUCUAACACAUGCAAGUCGAACGAGCGAGAGAGAGCUUGCUUUCUCGAGCGAGUGGCGAACGGGUGAGUAACGCGUGAGGAACCUGCCUCAAAGAGGGGGACAACAGUUGGAAACGACUGCUAAUACCGCAUAAGCCCACAGCUCGGCAUCGAGCAGAGGGAAAAGGAGCAAUCCGCUUUGAGAUGGCCUCGCGUCCGAUUAGCUAGUUGGUGAGGUAAUGGCCCACCAAGGCGACGAUCGGUAGCCGGACUGAGAGGUUGAACGGCCACAUUGGGACUGAGACACGGCCCACACUCCUACGGGAGGCAGCAGUGGGGAAUAUUGCACAAUGGGGGAAACCCUGAUGCAGCGACGCCGCGUGGAGGAAGAAGGUCUUCGGAUUGUAAACUCCUGUUGUUGAGGAAGAUAAUGACGGUACUCAACAAGGAAGUGACGGCUAACUACGUGCCAGCAGCCGCGGUAAAACGUAGGUCACAAGCGUUGUCCGGAAUUACUGGGUGUAAAGGGAGCGCAGGCGGGAAGACAAGUUGGAAGUGAAAUCUAUGGGCUCAACCCAUAAACUGCUUUCAAACUGUUUUUCUUGAGUAGUGCAGAGGUAGGCGGAAUUCCCGGUGUAGCGGUGGAAUGCGUAGAUAUCGGGAGGAACACCAGUGGCGAAGGCGGCCUACUGGGCACCAACUGACGCUGAGGCUCGAAAGUGUGGGUAGCACACAGGAUUAGAUACCCUGGUAGUCCACACCGUAAACGAUGAUUACUAGGUGUUGGAGGAUUGACCCCUUCAGUGCCGCAGUUAACACAAUAAGUAAUCCACCUGGGGAGUACGACCGCAAGGUUGAAACUCAAAGGAAUUGACGGGGGCCCGCACAAGCAGUGGAGUAUGUGGUUUAAUUCGACGCAACGCGAAGAACCUUACCAAGUCUUGACAUCCUGCGACGGACAUAGAAAUAUGUCUUUCCUUCGGGACGCAGAGACAGGUGGUGCAUGGUUGUCGUCAGCUCGUGUCGUGAGAUGUUGGGUUAAGUCCCGCAACGAGCGCAACCCUUACUGUCAGUUACUACGCAAGAGGACUCUGGCAGGACUGCCGUUGACAAAACGGAGGAAGGUGGGGAUGACGUCAAAUCAUCAUGCCCUUUAUGACUUGGGCUACACACGUACUACAAUGGCGUUAAACAAAGAGAAGCAAGACCGCGAGGUGGAGCAAAACUCAGAAACAACGUCCCAGUUCGGACUGCAGGCUGCAACUCGCCUGCACGAAGUCGGAAUUGCUAGUAAUCGUGGAUCAGCAUGCCACGGUGAAUACGUUCCCGGGCCUUGUACACACCGCCCGUC
rnacentral:rRNA from 1 species